rnacentral:lncRNA from 1 species
UCUAACUUCAACCCACACUCUUACUCUCCAACCACACCCACCACACCAAGCACCACCCCCACACCACCAUCAACCACCUCACCAAGCACCAUCACCACCUCAUCCACCACCACACCAAGUACCACCACACCAAGCACCAUCACCACACCAAGUACCACCACACCAUCCACCACCACACCAAGCACCAUCACCACACCACCCACCACCACACCAAGUACCAUCACCACACCAUCCACCACCACAUCAAGCACCAUCACCAUCACCACACCACCCAUCACCACACCACCCAGCACCACACCACUCACACCACUCACACCACUCACACCACUCAUCACCACACCACUCACCAUCACCACACCACCCACCACCACACCAAGCACCAUCACCACACCACCCACCACCACCCCAAACACCACCACCACCCCAAACACCAUCACCACACCACCCACCACCACCCCAAGCACCAUCACCACACCACCCACCACCACCCCAAGCACCAUCACCACACCACCCACCACCACCCCAAGCACCAUCACCACACCACCCACCACCCCAAACACCAUCACCACACCACCCACCACCACCCCAAACACCAUCACCACACCAAACACCAUCACCAAACUACCCCCCACCACACCAAACACCACCACCACACCACUCACCACCCC